UGUUCGACGAGAGAGACCU
rnacentral:misc_RNA from 1 species